AAUAUUGCACAAUGGAGGAAACUCUGAUGCAGCGACGCCGCGUGAACGAUGAAGGNUUNNGAGGCNUNAAGUUCUGUCCUAGGNNNNNAUAAUGACGGUCACCUAGGAGGAAGACCCGGCUAACUACGUGCCAGCACCAGCGGUAAUACGGAGGGGGCAAGCGUUGUCCGGAUUUAUUGGGUGUAAAGGGUUCGCAGGCGGCCUUUAAUGUAAGAUGUGAAAGACUACAGCUCAACUGAGGUAAUCAUUUGAAACUGAAAGGCUUGAGUUAAGGGGAGGAAAGUGGAAUUCCUAGUGUAGCGGUGAAAUGCGUAGAUAUUUAGAGGAAUACCAGUGGCGAAGGCGACUUUCUGGACUUAUACUGACGCUGAGGAACGAAAGCGUGGGGAGCAAACAGG
rnacentral:rRNA from 1 species